rnacentral:lncRNA from 1 species
GCAACAUUGUUAAAAUAACUUCUAACAAUGAAUGGCAAUACUGUUUACUAUCAGUAUUACUAGUUAACCUCAAAGGAUACUCAUCUGUUUCUAUAUAUAACAUUAUACUGAGUAUUUUAUGCUAACAGUGCCUGCAUAAGUUUUACAGGAAAAAAUUUUACCUCUUCUGAGGUAUUCACAAGCUGGGUGGAAAUCAGGUAUGUGGUAUAAUCAGG